AUUGAACGCUGGCGGCAGGCCUAACACAUGCAAGUCGAGCGGAUGAAGGGAGCUUGCUCCUGGAUUCAGCGGCGGACGGGUGAGUAAUGCCUAGGAAUCUGCCUGGUAGUGGGGGAUAACGUCCGGAAACGGGCGCUAAUACCGCAUACGUCCUGAGGGAGAAAGUGGGGGAUCUUCGGACCUCACGCUAUCAGAUGAGCCUAGGUCGGAUUAGCUAGUUGGUGGGGUAAAGGCCUACCAAGGCGACGAUCCGUAACUGGUCUGAGAGGAUGAUCAGUCACACUGGAACUGAGACACGGUCCAGACUCCUACGGGAGGCAGCAGUGGGGAAUAUUGGACAAUGGGCGAAAACCUGGUCCAGCCAUGCCGCGUGUGUGAAGAAGGUCUUCGGAUUGUAAAGCACUUUAAGUUGGGAGGAAGGGCAGUAAGUUAAUACCUUGCUGUUUUGACGUUACCAACAGAAUAAGCACCGGCUAACUUCGUG
rnacentral:rRNA from 1 species